CAUUACCUGGCUGGAGGGCUGCUGAUAUAAUCUGGAGAAAGAUGAAAUUCCCUUAAGAAAGGAAAUAUAUAUAAUCCACAGACAGAUGCUAAGGGGAAGGAAUCCCUUGGAACAUCCCAAUUUAACUGGAAAGUCCAGAGAGAAAGGACACAAAGGAGAUGUACGAGUAUUGUAUACAAGGAUUGGCUGAUAGCUGCCUGACCACUUCAUAAGAGAUUUAACCCUACUGCACUCCUGAGUAGCCAGCAGAUAAAGGAAACCCAUUUUGACUUUAUAACUCUGCUAUUUACUGUUACACUGCAAACAUUUUAAUUGUACAUAUUUUCUUGUGUGCCUCCCACUAAAUAUUAAUUCAGUACGGGCCUAGAGGCAGCCUAACUCUCAGCAAAAAAUAAUUAAUAUAUUCAAAGUGUGUGUUUAAACAGGGAAAUAAAAACAUAGUUAAUGGGUCACAAAAA